rnacentral:lncRNA from 1 species
CGACCACUGCCUAAGUGGAAUCAACCUAUUUAAACAAUAUCCAAGUCAUAUGAAGUCCAAUUUUUUUUUUAAAACUUCAAAGAAGUGGAGAUUUGGGAGGGUACAAAGAAUGUGAGGAUUCCUCACAUUCUUCGUACAUUUUCUAAUUUUUUAGUUUUUUUGGCUUUUAAUUUUUCCGGGACUUAUUCGAACACUGCCUAAGUGGAAUCAAC